rnacentral:tRNA from 1 species
GCCCCAGUGGCUCAGCGGCUAGAGCGGAUGGCUGUUAACCAUCAGAUCGUCGGUUCGAAUAUUGGCGCCGAGGUGACAAUGCCUUGAACGCCAGUGAGAAUGUCCGACCUGGGGCG